UUCUCGCCACUGUCACCACUGGCUUGCUUGUGUGAUAGAAUGGGUGUGGUGACUGACAGUUUCACCCACCUAUCAGCAGGUGGCACCCUGCUAUAUAAACUGGGAAGUUCAGCCUCACAGCAGGUCACGUCUGACUUCAGGUCUUUUGCAUCACUUCCUGGUUUUGGGUCUCUGGUUGGUAGUGUUUGCAAGGUUGUUACAUAGACUGCAUGAGUGAAGCUGUAUGAGUACGCUGUAAGCUGUGCACAGUGUUUCCUGCCUCAUGUUUUAAUGAUCAUACGUUGGUUAAAAGACUGCUGCUUCUGACUGUUAUACCUGUGGUGAGUUCUUGCCUUUUUAAGUCAUGUGCAUUUUAAGCACUUUCUGACGAUAGUGGCUAACGCUGUUUGUUUCAUACAGAUCCUCCUUCUCCAUUGCGAAUAACGUUGCGUUACUAUUGCCUUUCUAUCAAAUUAUAUGGGUGCAUCCUGCACCAGGCAUCCGUUUUAAUAUUCGAGCCAUUCCAGUAGCGAUCAGGAGCUCUGCCAUCACAUCGAACAAACUGUCGUGGAUAUCGCCUCAAGUAGAGGGGGGCAGGUUGUGUUCAGUUUGGUUCAGUUUUUAUGUUUCACUUUCGUUUUGCGUGAAAUUUGAGUUCCUUUCAUUUAUGUUUUUGGAUGUUGAUUUCAUGGUGUUGUUAGUAUUGCUGCUAUAAGUUUUAGCCACACCACACAUUUUGUUAUUUUAGUAUUUCAUCUUGGUUGUAUUGGUUUUGAUUUUCCUCAGUUGUGAUAUUAGUUUAAUGUUUUAAGUUUAAUGUUUUAUUGUAAAACUAGGAAGUCUGACGUGUUUAUUUCUGUGAGCAACAGUAAUUUUUAUAAUUGAUUUGAGUAUAGUGUUUGUAUAUUUGCACCUUUUGUGUUUUCCAGGAGCCUGGACCUCACGGGUGGAAGGGCCUUUUAGUGAACUGAACUGAACUUCUUUGAGUGGUGUGAUGCUGAGUGGGUGAAGUACACUGUGGUGUCUAUAGAGUGCUGUGGAUUUAUUCUUUGGUGUUCACUUGUCCUGGUGAGAGCCCAGCUCCUGGGUUUAGUGUUUGUGUUUAUCAUUAUUAUCAUUAUUAUUAUUAUUUGAUUACUGUUGCUCCAUAUUGAGGAAAUGUGCUUUUAAUUGUGAUUUUAUGCAAGUGUAAACUCUAUUGCUUAAGCAGAAUAAAUUUUGUUUCUCACUCAUUUUAAAGGGAACGAACCUGUGUCCUUAUUCGGACUUUAUUCCCCAUUAAGUUGGGGUGGUGUAGUCGCUACAAAUUCUUUAUUGAAACCUUUUGUGUG